AUUCUGAGGCAGAAAUCGAGAUUGGAUUUCACAGGAGGUUCCAUGGAGAUGGGAACCCUUUUGAUGGAAUAUCAGGGACUUUAGCACAUGCAUUUGCACCAACUAAUGGAAGGUGCCAUUUUGAUGGAGAUGAGAUAUGGAGUGCAAAUCCUGGACCUAAUGAGGUGGACUUGGAAUCAGUUGCAGUGCAUGAAAUAGGGCAUCUUCUGGGUCUUGACCACAGUGAGGAUCGAAAUGCUAUAAUGUAUUCUACCUUUGAUUAUGGGAUUACCAAAAGGGAAUUGGGUACUGAUGAUAUUCAAGGAAUUCGUACUCUGUAUGGAUUGCAGUAAUAGUUGCAUUAUUUUAUUGUAAUAAGAGCAAUUGAGAUCCAAUAUGCUUUGGAGGCUUAGUGCUAUAUUGUUCGAAUGUAAUAUUUCUAAUAUUUUUCCCUUAUAUCACCGGUUAAAAGAAUCACAUGGCUGCUUAAAGGUUUUAUGAUAUAGGACUAAUUAGAUUUCGUCAAGAGUUUUAACUGAUAAUAUUUUAAUGGAUUUAUUAAUGGAUCUUAUAUUUAUUAGUAAAUUAUUUUUCUUUUAAUUUACUAUAAAUCUAAAAUCCGUUAAUAAUAAUAACGGAAAUUCCAUUAGUAAAUAUGUUUAUAUUUACUAAUAGAUUUAAAAAUCGUUGACAAGCUUUUUAAUAAGGGAUUGUAAUCCGUUGGUAAACAAAUUAUCAAUGGAUUUUUAUUAGAUUACCAAUGAAAAAAUUUGUUGGUAAUGCAGAAGUUUCUUGUAGUGAGAUUCACCAUUAUCUUAAUUUUAUAAUUUCUUAAAUAAUAAAAGUGAUAGGAUGCAAAUUCUGCCUAUUUAAUAUAUAUUUUAACGUAUUUAAUUUGAUUUGAUUCUGUUAAAUUAUAGUUAUUUCUUUUCCUUUUGUAGUAUUGACAGAUUUUAUUCAUUCUGAAAAGAAAAGUUUUAUUUUGAAUGUUUAGACAAGAAUUAGAAUUGGAGUCGUAAAGCUAGUCUUGAGUACGUCUCACACACAGUGAGCACAACUUACAUUAAAUGACUUAUACGGAGCAAUGAAUAGAGUCAUGAAAUAAAUCUUAGGCACGCUUCAAAUCAUGGUCGCAAAUAGAAUUCAUUGAGAAGCAAAUAAAACCAUAGAGUAAACCUUGGACUAAGCGUACACAGAUUUGUAGCAUAACUUAUGCAAUAUCACGGGAUUUUCAUAUCUAAUUCUUUAUUAAAUUGCAGAAACCAGUUUAUGAAGAAUUGAUUUUAGAAAGAAAAAAAACUUUUAGAUGGUUACUUCUAGAUUUUUUUUAUUUCUCUUAAGAAAAGUUCUUUGAAGUGAGAACUUUUGAAACUUCUUAUACUUUACCUUUUUGCUUUUAUAAUUGGUUGCGACAUGAGUUACGGUGGCAAAUCUUUUUUAUCUAGUUAGGGAACUUUCGAGGUGUAUCCUUCUUAUUUUUAGUUUUUAUAUUAUCCCUUUGUUCUUUAGAAUUUUAUUUAUUUAAUUGAUGUAAUAUAUCCAAUUGCUCAAUUGAGUAAAUAGCAUAUAAUCAUUUAAAUUCAUUUAGUCUCUUCUUAUUUCUAGUUUCUAUAUUAUUCUUUUAUUCUUUAGAAUUUUAUUUAUUUAGUUGAUGUAAUCUAUCCAAUUGCUCAAUUGAGUAAAUAACAUAUAAUCAUUCAUAUUCAUUUAGUCAGUAAUUAUUUGUGAGUUUUAUAUUUGUGACAAACAAUAUUUUAUUGUGAAAUAAGAUAUUAUGAUUUCAUAGUUGCGCUGGUAUGACCUUCUUGGUUAGAAUCGGGUCUUUCUAAUUUUAAAUGCCGUUAUCAAAUUAAAUCUUAUUAAAUUUAUCAUAUAGUUUGUUUGUUGAUUAGGGGCUAAUUAGUAAACUGAUCCUUUUUAGUCUAUUAUCUAACGAAAAAUUAAAUUGUUAGAACGUGUCAAUAAUUAUAACUAGCUGACCAGAAAUUAAUUUAAAUAUUCUUGCAUCUAUGAUCAAUCUCGAAAAUUAACACCAAGAUACUCUCGAAAUUAAAUAUUUUUUAAAUCUAAUUAAUCUCUUUAAUUAUUUGCUUCUUAAUUAGUUUACUUUUACAUUCAAUUAAAUCUCUUUAAUCUAAAACCCCAUACUUUUAUAUUUUAUUUUACUUUAUUUUUAGAGUAAACUACAAUUUAGUCCCUCUAGUUUAGUGAAAUAUAACCUUUCAUCCCUCUGUUUUUAAAAAUCGUCAAUUUAGUUACUGUGAUUUUUAAAAAUUAUGCCAUUAGUCCCUCCCGUUAGAUUUUCAGUUAAGUCACCAUUAGUUUUAGUUAAAAGACUAAAAUACCCAUUCUCUCAUCCACCUCAUCAGUCUAUCAUGGAAUUGUGUCCUCUGUUGCCAUGGAUGUCUAGAGCUUCCACAAGAAAAACAAGGGUGUUAAGUUAACAGUGGCAAAGAAAUCUUACAGACAAUUAGUAAGAAAUUUUACAUGAUAAGACCAAAGAACUUGGUCUUGGAUCCCACUUUGGAUGUUCAGAUUUUGAAAUCAAAACAAAAUUUUUUUAAAUAAGCAACUGAUAAUCACAACAGAGGGACCAAUAGCAUAAUUUUUAAGAUAGAGGAUCUUGAAGAUGGAGGAGUACUCAUUUCGAAUCAUCCUAAAAAAAGCCCGAAUCGAGAGUUUUGCUUCGUGGGUUUGCAGAUAUGGAUGCUAGAACUCCAUUCUCUCACCCACAAUUCCAUCGACUGCAAUUCCAUGAUAGAAAAUAGCUGGAGAGAAUUGGAAAGAACCUUUGGAGAAAGAUCAUAGACAUUAGAACAGCGCAUGCUGAUUAACCUACGCAAGCAUUUGACUUCUGCGGCCACAUCGGCCGUGUUCAUCCGUACCUUCACCAUAUCUUCUCCCUAUUCAAAGAUCGCUCUUUAUCUCUGUGUCCUUGUGAAUGGAACUGGAGAAGAUAUCCGUAGCAAAAGGAGUUGUCUUUCGAUUUCAAAAUAUGGAGAAAGGUCUUCGCCUUGCUCGCUACCGCCUGGUGCCUGGAUAAUUUCCAGUUCCGACAUGCUUUGCGAUGUCGUUUUGUCCAUCAUCUUUGAAGAAUACACUUGCUGCAAAAUAUGUGAUCAAAAUCUGUAGCUUAAGUGUUCGGUAGAAGUAGGUGGCUUCAUUUAAUGUUUACUGUUACCAUUGCUUGAUCUGUUGCUUAAAACACUCUCUGCCACAAUUGUUGAUGAUGUUGUCUUGCUAGAGUUGUUUUCUAAAGAGUUUUGAAGAAACACAAUCCAUUGAUAGACUGAUGAGGUGGGUGAGAGAAUGGGUAUUUUAGUUUUUUAACUAAAACUAACGAUGACUUAACUGAAAAUCUAACGGGAGGGACUAAUGGCAUAAUUUUUAAAAAUCACAAUGACUAAAUUGAUGAUUUUUUAAAACAGAGGGACGAAAUGUUAAAUUGCACUAAACUAGAGGGACUAAAUUGUAGUUUACCCUUAUUUUUAUCAAGGAAUAAAAUUAAACAGUAAUUUUUGAAUUUAAUCCUACUCACUAUAUUUAUAAUUAUUUAUAAUAAGAGCAUGAUUUAUUUUUAUUGGAUUCGACACCUAUUAAAAAUUAUUUUAAAAUAACUUAUUUUACAAAUCAAAAUACAUAAUUAUAAAAUAAUAUAUGAAUAUAUUCCUCUUAUUUUGAUUAACAAAAUUUAUUAUAAAAUCAUGAUUUAUGCAUUCAAGGUUCAAUGUACACAAUAAUAAACACUUCUUUUACAAAUUAAUAUUUCAAAAAUAAAUACUAUAGUUUUUAAAUUUAUUUAAUAAAAAAACAUAAUUAAGUCAGAAGAAUGGAUUUUAAAAGAAGCUUUUAUACGUGUAAAAGUUGAGAAAAUUACAAAACCUAAUACAAAUAAAUCAAUACGAAGAUGGAUGAUUUGGUUGCUCCAUUUACAAACUGAUCUUUUAUUAAUAAAUUAUUUAAAAUUAUAAUACAUGGUAUAUAAAUUAAAAACUAUAGAUAAUAAUUAAAUUGGUUAUAAUAUUUAUUAUUAUAUAAUAAAAAUUAUAUACAUAUAAAAAAUAAUUAUAUUUUCAAUUAUAUUAUAUAUGUUAUAUAAUAAAUUAAUAUUUUUAUAUUUAUUUUAUUAACAUAGUAAAUUAAUAAUAUCGUCAUUAGUCAUUUUAUAUGUCUAGACAUAGUAUACAAAAGCAGGCUUAGCCUGGUGGAAAGUGCAUCCUGUAGCCUUGAAAGGUCUAAGGUUUGACUCCUCCAACCCCUAUUUCAAAAAAAAAAAAAAAGACAUAAUAUACAAAACACAUAAGGUAUAUCAGUUAAAAUUAAUUACCAGCGAUAAACUAUCAAUAACUAUUAUCAAUUAUAUUUAACAGGUAAAUAAAACAUUUUUUAAUUUGAUAGUGAUUAUUCUCUGAUUAGCUUUCAGUUUACACUGCACUAUCAAUUGCAAUUUAUUCCUUUUGAAUUAAUAUAUUUUUUUAAUUCAAAUAAAAUUAAGCUCCUAAUUUUUUUUAAGCAAUGAGUUAUGCCAAUGCAUUCAAUUUGUUUUUCCAUAUUACAAGACUAAUUAAAUUAAUUUAGUCAUCGUUGAAUUAAGCAAUUUAAGUUUUCCUAUAAUGAAAAAAAACUUACGAAAAACACUUAAAAAAAACAUUCAUCAGACAUAUAAUUGAAUCGAGUCGAAUUAAUUUUUAUAAAGCACACAUUUGUUUAUUAAAAAAUUUUGGAAACUCGACCUCAAACUGACUUCAACUCGAUUCAAAAAUUAAAUAUUAUAAUAGAAUUCGGUUCGAACUCGACACUUUAAAAACCCGUUUAAUAUAAUAAUGAGCCUAAUUUAACUCGUAAAAAAUUUAUUUAAUAUAAUAAUAAAUCUAAUUUAAAUUUAAAUUCGAGAAACUCAGAUUAAAAAGUUCGAGCUCGAAAAAUACUAAAAUAAUUGGAUGAUUUAUUUCUAGCUUUAAUCAAUUAAAUUAAAAGUUAAAACGAUAUACUAUUAUUUAAUUCACAUCAGAUCAACUUAUCUUGCAUCCAUCUAAAGAUAUCAAAUAAUUAAUUAGUUAGAAGACCUUCUAGAGUGUCAAUAACAAUAAUGCCUAUGAAAUAGUUUUCUCCCCACUUGCUUUUCAUUGUUUAUAAAGGAAUUUAAUAAGAAUGUCUUAAAAGUGUUGAUUUGAUUUGUCGACAUAAAUUGAGAAAAAAAAAAAAGAACUGGAAACGACGAAACAAUUCAUAUAUAUAAUAACAAGUUUUUCCAAAAAGAGAAAAGACAAUAUUUUCUCCUAAAUCUAAAGUAAAAACAGACUUAAAAAAAAAAAAAAGAAACUGUAUGUUUCUCCAAAAUUUAACAAUAAUUCGUGUAUGUGUCUCCAAAAUUUAAUAUAAAAUUUUGAAUAUGCAAAUUAACAAUUUAUUUGAGUGUAUCAAUAAUUUGGAUUGAACAAAUAAUUUUCUCAAUUUCCUCAUUUUUUAGGAAGGCUUUGUAGUGCGUCAAGGGCAGUGGGUUCCAAGCAACUAAAUAAUUAGAUUGACUUCCCACUUGCUUUUCCUUAUUGGCAACGGGAAAAUAAGACCACUUAAUGAGAUUAAUUACUAGGAAAUGAUAAACAUCAAUAAAUAAAUAAUUAAAGAGGAAGACUAGGUAGACUAUUCUUCUGAUGGCCAGAAAUUUUCAUAUACUUUAACAUAGAAAUUAAGCAUUUUCCCUGAGUCUAAAUUAACCCCUUGUUGAAGACAAGACUUUUAGAAGUCUUUCCUACUAAUCAUAUAUAGAAACUAAGCACUAUAAAUAGAUACAGAAACUCCAUUCAUUCCCACCAAGCAAAAGCACUAAUUUCCAACCUCAAUUGAUUGGUAGUCGGAGAAUUUUAGCAGUUCAAUCCAAUGAUUCCUAAAAACUUCCAACUUUUUGGAGCUAUUUUGCUCCUCUUCUUGUUUCAGUUACCAAACAGAAUCCAAUCAAAACCAAGCGGAAAUCCUUUUGGGUUUAUCCAACACCUAGAGGGAUGCCACAAGGGUGAAUCUAUAAGUGGGCUCAAGGACCUUAAACGAUAUCUUGAGAAAUUUGGGUACUUGAAUUACGCCAAAAGUAACAGCAACAACCAUGCAAAUGAUGAUGAGUUUGAUGAUCUUUUGGAGGCAGCAAUCAAGGAUUACCAACACUACUAUCACCUGCAAGCCACAGGAGUUUUAGACAAUAAUACAGUAUCUCAAAUGACGAAACCUAGAUGUGGGGUGCCAGAUGUUGUCAAAAAUGGCACAAACAAGCACUACCAUAAUCCCAAAUCCAUCCACUCAGUAGCCCAUUUCAACUUCUUCCCUGGACCCCGAAGAUGGCCAGCUGAGAGAAGCCAUUUAAGAUACAGGUUUCGUUCCAGUGUGCAAGUCCCUGGAACUGAAAACUUCAGGUCCAUAUGUGCACAAGCAUUUCAGAGAUGGGCACAAGUUACCCACUUCACAUUCGAGGAAGUUGAUGCUAAUUCUGAGGCAGAAAUCGAGAUUGGAUUUCACAGGAGGUUCCAUGGAGAUGGGAACCCUUUUGAUGGAAUAUCAGGGACUUUAGCACAUGCAUUUGCACCAACUAAUGGAAGGUGCCAUUUUGAUGGAGAUGAGAUAUGGAGUGCAAAUCCUGGACCUAAUGAGGUGGACUUGGAAUCAGUUGCAGUGCAUGAAAUAGGGCAUCUUCUGGGUCUUGACCAUAGUGAGGAUCGAAAUGCUAUAAUGUAUUCUACCUUUGAUUAUGGGAUUACCAAAAGGGAAUUGGGUACUGAUGAUAUUCAAGGAAUUCGUACUCUGUAUGGAUUGCAGUAAUAGUUGCAUUAUUUUAUUG
rnacentral:lncRNA from 1 species